UGGGGAAUCUUGCGCAAUGGGCGACAGCCUGACGCAGCAACGCCGCGUGGGGGAAGAAGGCCUUCGGGUUGUAAACCUCUUUCAGGAUGGACGAAGCUUCACCGGUGAAUAGCCGUGUGGAGUGACGGUACUUCCACAAGCAGCCCCGGCUAACUACGUGCCAGCAGCCGCGGUAAUACGUAGGGGGCAAGCGUUGUCCGGAAUCAUUGGGCGUAAAGCGCGCGUAGGCGGCCAGAUAAGUCCGGUGUGAAAGUCAAAGGCUCAACCUUUGAAUGCCGCUGGAAACUGUCUGGCUAGAGUCCGGAAGGGGCGAGUGGAACUCCUGGUGUAGCGGUGAAAUGCGCAGAUAUCAGGAAGAACACCAAUGGCGAAGGCAGCUCGCUAGGACGGUACUGACGCUAAGGCGCGAAAGCGUGGGGAGCAAACAGGAUUAGAUACCCCCGUAGUCCCUGAGCGGGCUGGCAAGGCGCAU
rnacentral:rRNA from 1 species